UGUGAGGAGUCUAUCCCAGAUGAGAAAACCCAAAAUUACAGAUAGCUCAAAGACACGGCCCCACAAGGAGAGUGCUUCAGCACAAUUCACUUCAACACUCACUUCCGGGUGGCGCUCUACUCUUCUGGAGGCAAUUCAGGGGCCAUUGACAUUGAAAACGGCAACGUCUGGAAAGCUUGUUGACAUAUCGACCCCGUCUCUGAAAAGAGAGGAAACGCGGCGUCGUUUCGCGGGGCGCUUCAGCGGGCCCCCUGGUCGCCAAGUGAGAGAGGUGUGGAGCGAAGGGACUGACUGGGUGCCCGUGGACAUGAGCAGCAGUUCAACAGAGAAAAUGGAGAGUAAAAAGAGAAAAAAACAUGGCUCGGCUCCACCAUGACUUUAGAGCACAUGAAGAAAGAAGACGGAAAACACGUGGCGAGCGAAACGACUCGGGCUUAAUGUCUGAACGCGUGCGAUCUCCUCUCGGCAAAGAUGCAACCGGCCAUCGAACCGCGUCUUCUUUAACCCAUACGCGCAGGUAACGGCCUCUUCCUUCUCCGUAUCCUUCCCUUGAUGUUCUUCCCUUUUCUCCUUCUCCCGGUCACCCUUUACCUUCCUCUCUUCCUCCUCUUUUCCU
rnacentral:lncRNA from 1 species